rnacentral:lncRNA from 1 species
GGGGUCUGUGGUGUCUUGGGAGCUCUGGGACACAGGUUCGAUUCCCCACGGGGCCCGGUGGGUUAAGGAUCUAGCAUUGCUGCAGCUGUGGCUGGGAUCCCUGGCCUGGGAACUCCAUAUGCCACAGGGUGGCCCCCAAAGAAAAAUAUGUAAUAAUAAAGUCAAAGAGAGGGAAUGAACGGAGAGAAAUGAUUUGAAAUUGAUAUUAGAAAGGGUUUCUCCUCUUGCUUGUGUAAAGCUCUUAAGAACCAACAAGAAAAAGAUGCAAAGGAGUUUCCAGUGUGGGUUAAGAAUCCACCUGCAGCAGCUCAUUUUCUGGGGAGGCAGAGGUUCCAUCCCCAGCCCUGUGCAGUGGGUUAAAGGAUCUGGUGUUGCCACACCUGCUGAGUAGGUUGUAACUGUGGCUCCCUGGCCCCUGGAACUUGCAUGUGCCGGGGGUGCAGCCAUAAAAGAAAAGAUAAAUAACGCCGUAGAAAAUGAACAGUCGACGGACAGUUCACAGACGAGAGAGAACGUGCGACGCCUUUUAAACAUAGAAGACGCUAAUCACUGUACUGUAAUAAGAGAAAAAGCAAAAUUGCCACGAGAUCAUUUUUAUCUACUGUUUAUUUCAUCUUUUUAGGGCUGCACCCAUGGCACAUGGAGGUUCCCAGGCUAGGGGUUGAAUUGGAGCUACAGCCGCCAGCCUCCACCACAGCCAUGCCGGAUGGUUAACCUGCUCAGCGAGGCCAGGGAUGGAACCCACGUCCUCAUGAACACUAGACAGAUUCGUUUCUGCUGAGCCACAACGGGAACUCCUAGCAGCAGAGAUUUUUUAAAGUUUAGAAGAAACAAGUAGUUUCCCCUUUCCAGGUGGGAGGAUUAAUUAGCACGCCUGUAUCCUGGCCAUUUGUCAAUAUCCAUAGACAGUCCAGAUGCACGUGACCUCUGGCUCAGCCAUCCCACCGGCAGGAACUUUCCUGCAGCCAGACUCACAUGUAUGAAUUGGUCUGUGCGCUUGGUCAUAAGCACCAAGCACCCAUCCGCAGGGAAGGGCACAGGCAGUGGGCAGGAGGCUUGCCCAGUGUGUGAUGCUGCCGGUACGAUCCGGUGGGGCUCAGACGUGGAUCAGCUUGCUGGCGCCCUCACCCCCGCCCUGCUGUGCCCCGCCCCACGGUGAAAGCCCCACCUUCUGUUCGGGAAUGCGGUCUGGGAUGGGCACUGCUUCCCUCAGCCUGGGAGACGUUUUCAGGUCCUCCGCUGGCACCCCCAUCACUUAGGUCAUUGCCCUAAUGCACGCCAACUCCCAGGAGCCCCAAACUGGCCACGACCACUGCUGGGCUCCCCUACCCGCACACCCGCCCCACUAGUAACAUGACAGGCAGUUCUCGCGCUCAGAGGCGGGUCUCCGGUCUGUGCAGACUAAGCUGGUCAUUUAUAGAAAAGGGGGACAGGUCAGCGCCAGAGGGGACUGCAUUCCCAAAGGUCUCUUCUCAGCCUGUUCAAUAUACUCAUUCCAUCUAUGAGGGCCGGAAAUAACUCCUGUUAAGACAGACCUAUAUCCAAAAUUCUAACAUUUAAGGAAAAAGUGGUUUUAUUUUGGGUUUUUUGCUUAAAAGUGUCAAAUUCUCACUGCCUCCUGAACUCCAGGCAGAAAACACACCCAAAACCCCCACCUACCAAGGAUGUCGUGGAAGCAGCUGGGGACUGUGAUACCAGAUAAUAGUGCUGCAUCAGUGUUCAGUUUCCUAAUUGAAAUUGGGAUAAUGAUAAUUGGGGUGAAAUAUGACACAAAGAUGCCUGAGUUCUUAGAAAAAUGUCUUCUGAAGAAUUUAGGGUGAAGCAUGAUGUCCUCAAACAAUAAUUGAGCCACCGAUCAAUCAGACAUUAGAUAGAGCAGAGGUGGCUAAACGGGCGACGCCAGGUGAAGGGUCUGUGGGACAUUCUGUAGAUGUGAAAAUUUUGAAAAUAAGUUGGGAGACCUAAAUAAACAGAGAAGAGCUUCCACGACUGUCGGUGGAUUUUCCUUCCUACACAGAGACUGGCUGUGAGGUCAGGACGUAAUCACUAGCCCUGUGGCCCCAGGCCGGGGGUGAUGCUCUCAGCCUUGACACUGGUCUGCCUGACACGUGCACUUCCCAGCACGUGCAGAGCUGACACAUUUUCUCGGCUCUGGCUUUCUGUCCACUUAAAUAUAAAACGCCUUUGCUGGAGCUCCCGUUGUGGCUCGGUGAGUUAAGAACCCAACUAGUAUCCAAGAGGAGGUGGAUUCAAUCCCUGGCCUUGCCCCGUGGCUUAAGGAUCUGGUGAUGCCGUGAGCUGUGGUGUAGGUCGCAGAUGCAGUCUGGGAUCCUGAGUUGCUGUGGCUGUGGUUUAAGCUGGCAACUGCAGCUCUGAUUUAACCCCUAGCCCAGGAAGUCCCAUAUGCUGCAGGUGCAGCCUUAAAAGGCAAAAAAUAAAAAUAAAAGCAAAAUAUUAAUAAUGGUAAUGAAGUAAGUGAAUAUUGGUGACAGCACUCUACCCAAGAGUUUGGAAUGCCUGGUAUGGGCGCAGCCCGGCUGGAGCUUGCAUCAUGGGCCAUCCCGGCUCAGGGCUGGGAGAGCGGUGGACAGCUGUGGAAGUCCAUGCUUCUGGCUCACCGCGGAAGAAGGUCUGGCCUGACAGCUUUCUUUUGAAGGCAGGCUCUGCGCCAGGUCAUCCAUCCUGGUGUCCAGCCCUCUGAUGAGUGGGCUGCCGUUUCUGUACACCAGCCCCUGAGCGUGCAGGGAGUGGCCAAGGUCAAAAGCAGCUGGUUUUGACACAUGCAUCCUCUCCGCCUCUGGCGCUGUCCCCUGACCCUGGGCCGCGAUGAGUCAGGUAAGGUGGGCAUAAGCAGACAUCCCCCGUGAGCUUAUUCAAAGCUGUCAUCAGAUGUCCACAUGCUCUGAGCGGGCAGCAUCCCAAACCCAGGUGAUUCGGGCACCCACGUUCUUGGCGGGGUGCAAGUCUAGGAGAGAGGGAGGUGGGGUCAAGUGACAGGGCCUGAAGGCUGCCCAUGGAAGUGCCCUGGGGCAUCCUGGGCCACCGAGCACUUCAUGGAUGAGGCAGGGCUUGUGCGCGGUUCAUCGUAGGAAUAGGGAGGGGGUGUGUGCUGGGGGCCAGGGGUGUGCGUUCCAGAGUGACCGAGGCGGCUUUGGUGGAUACCUGUCUGGUGUGUAGGCGGGAUGGCAAGAACACAGCUGCUCCUGCAGGGACCAGCAGGAGAUCGGCUUAGGAGAGCUGGCCAACCAGAGUGCCAGCCCAGAGUGGACGCCAGUCUCACAGGAAGCAGUUCGAUCCCAGGCCCCGGACCCUUGAAUCCCAAAUCAGAGGAGGGGCCACCACCUGCCAGGUCCAGAGCAAAGAAUCCGGAAUCCAAGCCACGCUAACGUGGGGCUUUGCACAGGGUGACACUUCCUCUGAAAUGCAAGGCUGGUGUCAAUCUUGGCCCCAGAGUGACCCCACCACACUCGAAAGGACGGGCAGGGUCAGGACCGCUGGGGGCUGGGGUGGGGGAGGGGAGGAGCUGGGCAGGUUCUGGUUUUCUAUGUGCCCCAGAGCUUGGGCAGAGCAGGGGGGUGAAAUGGAAGGAGACAGGAGGAUGUGGUCCUGCAGGGACAGCCUGUGUGUCCCUGCAGACUCCUGCCCUGCUCCCGCCCAGGGUCCCAGGGCCAGCUCGGAUGCCAGCCCUCCCGUGGCCCCGCCUAGAAUCUGCCCCUCUGACCCCGUGCGGAGGCCCACUGGCACCCACCCUCGGGCAGUCCGCAAUGGGUGGAGGCUUCACCCCCCAGGUCACAAGGCCGCUGGUGGCCCCGGCCCAGCCGAGCCUGCCUGGAUAGCACCUCCCGUUCACCAGCACCCAAAAGGGACUGGACACGUGGACGUCCCAGUAAAUGGUUUUAAUCCCAGGCCCAAAGCAGGUGCCGAGAGAUUUAAAACCACAAAAGGAGAUGUGGCGACGGCUCUUCCCUCCGCCAGUGACCACGCAGCCGUGCCCAGCACUCACCGGGGCACCUGAUGAAGGAAGACCAUGGUUCCGAGACCCUCGGCAGGGUCCUGGGUUGCUGGGGACAGCACGGGACUCAGCAAGAACAACUCAGCGCUUAGCGUUGUGUGUGCAUAUGUUUAUUUCCUUCGAAGGCCUUGGUGGUCCAGCCACAUCUUCCCCCGUGACCCCGUGGUGGCCCCAGGGGUGCAGUCACUGUCAUGGAAACUCAUCACACUUGGUCAUCAAGCUAGACCUCUCCAACCCCUUUUAUUUUCUCCUUUAAAAAAAAAAAAUGUAGCUUUGAUAUAACACGUGGGGAGAAAACUCUACACGCCUGAAUUAUAAAUGGCCCAUCACUGGCCAGCUGGAAGCUCAGUGAACUGGGCAGUUUAUUGUAUUUCGAGUGUCUCCUCAUCCGGAAAGUAGAGAUGCUAGAAAAAGGAGCCAGAGGUGUCACCUGAGUCUACUUCACAGGGUUGAGCAGCACGGCUGUCCCCGAGCUGCUAGCUUUGGUCGUCAGGCCCUGGCGGGUUUGGGGCGAGGGGGGCGGGGCCGGGCCUCAGGGUCCAGGCAGGCGCUGAGACGGGCUUUUCAUCUGAUCAGAGUUAGAUGGUCUGAUCCACGACCUCCACCAACUUGGGUUCUUAGGUUUUAAGGCCGAGAGCCGUGAGACCGUUACUCAGAAAACAUUCGAAUUGAGUGACAGCAGCAAAAAUGAAUCUCGCCUUUUCCGCCCAAGAAGAAAAUCUGCAACUUUCUUCUAUAGAUGUGGCCAGUAAAACCAGCCAAAAAUCUGGACCGGCGCCCAACUUGUGACUGGUUGACAGCGAUGGGCCUGCUAUGAUCUAUGGGAAUCCAGGGCCCCCUUUUGAACUUGAACUUGAGACCGGACUGAAAUAAAGUGCUCCGUCUAAACCACCUUCUUCACGGCAGGUUUUCGGCGGGAACGAAGAGAUGCGUACUUCGCUCCGUGAAAAGGCACACACACAUGUCAGUCUGUUUCAUUCUCCGCAAAGAGCACAGGCUCCUCCUUAAACGAAUCAACCAGAAGUGUUGCCAGCUCAUUAAAACCCGCGUGAGCAGCUGGCUCCAGACACACAGACACACACCAACAUCAGUGUUCACGAAAACUCACUUUGAAAAACACCGCUCUGCAAAAAUUUCAUCAGGACCACCCAAGCAAAAGGCGCGCAAACCACUCCAGCCUGUGGACCAGGUACACGGGAAAGGGAGGGGGUUACAGGGUCGUGGGUUUGCAUUUGGUGUUUAGCCUCCAGGGCAUCUACUUUAACCUACGUAUCCUACACCAGGGAAAACCAAACCUGGAAAAGACACGUUCCCAGUAUUGACAGAGCCCACGUCCUCAGGGUUUACCCUGCCCCUGCCCUCGGCUCGGUUCCAUCCUAUCUGCUGCCGCAUUAGUGUCCUCUACCUUCAGAAAAAGCCAUUUGAUGGAGACUGUGUGUGUGCCUAGAGGGUGAGGCCUCCAUCCGCCAGAUGCCAGGAACGGGGUCUCCCAGCAAACGCUCCCCUCCUGUGAAUCCCCGUGCAACGCACACACGGCCCACCUGGCGCUUCCGGGGACCCUGAACAGCUUCCAAGUCACGAGGAGGCCGAGAAAGCUGAGCCCGGGAAGAAGGGACUGAACAGUGACCAGAACACUCAGGGGGCCCAUCAGGAAUGGGAGUGGCUGAGACUUUUGGUAGGUCGAGAAAGUUGAAUCCAAAACUGACACCUGGAGUUCCCACUGUGGCUCAGGGGUAAAGAGCCCAACUAGUAUCCAGGAGGAUGCAGGUUCGAUCCCUGGCCUCGAUCCGUGGGUUAAGGAUCUGGCGUUGCCGUGAGCUGUGGUGUAGGUCACAGACGAGGCUUGGAUCCUGUGUGGCUGCGGCUGUGGUGCAGGCCAGCAGCUGUAGCUCUGAUUCCAUCCCUAGCCUGGGAACCUCCAUCUGCCACAGGUGCGGCCCUAAAAAGCAAAAAAUAAAAAAUAAAACUGACACCUUCACACUUGAAUAAAUCGAGUGCAUGUGGAUUUUCAAAAUCAAACAAAAAAUUGCACCAACAGCUUCUGAUCAGUGCCUGACAUUCUGACACACCAUACCCUCUGAGAAUUACUCCUGGAAUGCCAUAGGUUCUGCCAACCACGUGAGAGAGAACAGAACUCCUUUGAGUCAGACAGACCGUUAACAGGUCCAUGGGUUCCACAAAGACGAGUGGUGAUUACUAGCCUGUGGGGCCUACCCUGGUAUGAACAUAUUAUAUUUUGUAACACCAGACGCUGGCUUACAGAGAGUGCAAUUGGAAUACAUGCUUUAAAAGCAAGUGUGGUGGAAAAGUCACUUUACCGUCACUCGAUAAAUUGUGGGACACCUAAGAAUUUUUAUUUCUUUUUCUUUUUUGCCUGCUCCCGCGGCACAUGAAGUUCCCAGGGCCAGGGACUGAAUCCAAGCCAGAACUGACCUGUGCCACAGCCACAGCCACACCAGAUCCUUAACCCACUGUGCCCACAGUGGGAACACCAAGAAUUUUUAAGUGUGCAUUUUAAAGUUUUUAAUGUAGUUCUCUAAUCUCUCAAAAAAAAAAAAAAAAAAAAAAAAG